UCUUCAGAGAUGACGGUGAUCGCCAAUCCUGAACGAGCCACCAAAUGAAAGACCCCUGGAGCAGGGAGACCCUCACUCAAGUCUCAGGAUGACGUGACCCCCCGUGAACUCAUGUAAGACC
rnacentral:pre_miRNA from 14 species